rnacentral:rRNA from 1 species
AAUGAACGCUGGCGGCAUGCCUUACACAUGCAAGUCGAACGGCAGCAUGACCUAGCUUGCUAGGUUGAUGGCGAGUGGCGAACGGGUGAGUAAUGCAUCGGAACGUGCCUUUUAGUGGGGGAUAACGUAGCGAAAGUUACGCUAAUACCGCAUAUUCUCUGAGGAGGAAAGCAGGGGACCUUCGGGCCUUGCGCUAGAAGAGCGGCCGAUGUCGGAUUAGCUAGUUGGUGAGGUAAAGGCUCACCAAGGCAACGAUCCGUAGCGGGUCUGAGAGGAUGAUCCGCCACACUGGGACUGAGACACGGCCCAGACUCCUACGGGAGGCAGCAGUGGGGAAUUUUGGACAAUGGGCGCAAGCCUGAUCCAGCCAUGCCGCGUGAGUGAAGAAGGCCUUCGGGUUGUAAAGCUCUUUCGGCUGGGAAGAAAACGCACCCUCUAAUACAGGGUGUGGAUGACGGUACCAGCAGAAGAAGCACCGGCUAACUACGUG